rnacentral:lncRNA from 1 species
UGGACUUACAUUUUUUCCCCUCAUUUCUGGACAAAUGGGAACAUACGCAGAUGAUGUUCUAUUUUGUCCACAAGAUAUUUACAUUUUGUAGUGAGGUUGUGAUCUCUGCGGGAUGCUUCCUCACCUGCAAAUGUCAAACUUGCAUAUUAUUUGUUACUCCGCUUCUGUCAGCUCAUAUCCUUUCUUGAAAAACCUUUUGUUGGCUUAUGAAGAGACCCAAUCCAAUAAAAAAAUUUCGGUUUUCGGUUCUUUUCAU